rnacentral:rRNA from 1 species
AUGCCGAGUGCCUCCUGGAAUUCCAAGAGUAAAGGCCUAGAAAAAUUCGCUAGUGAAAGAGUUUGCAAACCUGGAUUGCAAAGGUCAAGGGAAUAUGGCUUACGUCCUGUGAAGUUGAUAUCUCAAACAGUCUAUUCCAUGGGUUGCAUUGGUUGUUGUCAUUUACAUGAGGAUUCUACACAUGAAUCUGUGAAGUUUAGAUCCGCGCUUGACAAAACUGCUGGUGGUUUACUACCUUCCUCGGUGAAAGACCAGUUAUCUUUGCUAGCUAGGCAUUUUCGUCAAACUGCUGAUGAAAAGUCUAUCGAAGGAGCUCAGAAUGUGCUGCUAGAUUCGCUGAAUUGCAUUGUAUUAGCUAGUGCUUCAGACGAUGAGGCAAAUCAAUCUGACACAAAUUCAAGAAGAAAUAUAAGCAGUAGCAUGGCAGGCAGUGAUAAAUCGGUGCUCAGGAGCCAUGGAUGCAAUGAUCGUUCUUCCAAUUCUAAUGUAUCUCCUCUUGUUCAACGUUCUCCAAAUGUUUCCAAUGCAAAUGUGGAUUUCCAUGAUACUGCAGGUACAUGUUUAGGGAGCAAAAGGAAAUCUGUUUCUCCAGUUGAUGGACAAGAUACUUUCUGUGUUAAUCCAAGACCUCAUAAGAUGCAAAGGCCUGAUCGUGUAGAUAAAGUUCUAAUUGAGGAAGGAAGGAAGCUUGAUUUUAGUCAAGUUGAUAAGCAACUCGAGUUUGUUUCUGAACUUAUGAAAAAGCUUAUUCCACCAAAGUCCACCCGAUCAGCAAACCUAUUGACAAGGGAAAAAGCAUGA